rnacentral:lncRNA from 1 species
CUAUAGAGGAGUGAGGAGAAGGAUUGAAGGAAAAUAAGGGGAUAGCAACCCUUUAGGAAGACAAACAGUAUCAGCUAAAUCAGACCCCUGGAAGUUUCUAGAGACUAAGCCACUAACCAAAGAACAUACAGGGGCUGAUCCAAGGCUCCUGGCACAUAUGUAGCAAAGGACUGCCCUGUCUGGCUUCAAUGGGAGAGGAUGCAACUAAUCCUUUACAGACUUGCUGCCCCUGGUAGGGGAAUUUCAGGGGGGGGAGCACCCUCUCAGAGGUAAAGGGAAUGGAGGGUAGAGGGGAGAACUCUGAGAGGAGGGACCAGGAAGAGGCAACAUUUGGAAUGUAAGUAAAUAAAAUAAUAAUUAAACAACAGCAGCAACAGCAGCAGCAGCCACAACAACAAUAACAACAACAAUAACAACAGAAAGCCCAAAAGAAUGGACAUAGGUAUCUGUGUUGGAUAGUCUUAUGUCAACUUCAAACAGUUCAAGUUAUCUGAAAGGAGGAAACUUCAAUUGAGAAAAUGCCUCUGUAAGAGGGGGCUGUAGGCAUUUUCUUUACUAGUGAUUUAUGGGUGAGUGCCCAGUCCAUUGCAGGUGGUCCAUCCCUGGACCUUGAUUCUAUAAUAAAACAAACUAAGCAAGUCCUGGGAAGCAGGCCAGUCAAUAACAUCCAUCUAGGGCCUGUGCAUUAGCUCUUUCUUUUAGAUUCCUGACUUUUUUGAGUUCCUAUACUAAUUUCCUUCAGUGGUGAACUAUGGAUGUAGAAGGGUAAGCCAAAUAAACCUUUUCUUCCUCAACUUGCUUUUGGUCAUGGUCUUUCAUUAUAGCAACACAAAUCCAAACUAAGACAGUAAAUGAGUUUCAGAAUGUUCCCGUGUACAAAUUUUCAUUUGAUGCUUUAUGGAAUAAAUGGGAAAUAUGUAAGAAACUACAAAAUUAUCUUUGUUCCUGUGCCUAAAAUUUUCUAUGGUUUAGUGGAAUUCUAUUAAAAUAAACGUUAUUUUAACUGAAAUCUAUUGAACUCAAUCAGAACUGGAAUUGGCAAUAACAUCUUUGAACCCUGAACAAGUGAGCCUUCUCAUGGUCUCCAUAUUUUAGAGGCUAAUGAUCACCUAUACCACAAGAUGAGGAGUCUUCAUGGCUUAGGGGGUUGCAGUCUCAUGGAUUUAAUCAUCUUCCAUCCCCUUAGACUAUGCUUCAGGCUUGGAGUUUGGGAGAAGGUCUCCUCAAAGAUUCUAGAGCAUACUUUCUGACCCUUUAUUGACCCUUACUCCUUUAAAUUCAUGUUGACACGGUCUAUAAGAUUAUUACUUUAUUUAAUAUAGAGGUGUUCUUGUCAGGAAAAAAAUCUUAGGAAUAGUUUGGUGUAGCAUCUGCUUUAGAGCAAGCAAAACAUGAUCAUUGGAUUAUCUUCUUGGAGGGACAAUUACCUUUGCCAGGUAGCCAUGGAAACUAAUUUUGAGCAAACCCAACGUAGAGAUAGUAUGGUUAUGAUGAUGUUAAGAUGAAAGUUACAGGGAGCAUCACAGUGACAUGACCAGGAUUUCCAGGCAUCACUCACUUCCUAAAUCCAAGAGAUCUUAGCAGAUGUGCAUAGAAUUCAUAGGAAGUAGAAGAUUAAUUGAAAAUGGGGCUCCAUGAUAUAGUUUCCAUGAGGUUACAUUCAUGACAGGACAAGACCUAUGGAUGAUGCAGCUAUUUAAUAAUUGUGCAUACUUCUGUAAGUAACCCAUCACUUGUGCUCUAUAUGGAGUCCAAUAAACUCAUUACUUCACCACAUUGGAUUCGGGUUACAUCAUUACUUUGAUAAGCUGUCAGUGCCUUAUCUGGGGUAAAUAGAUGUUUGCUGGUUGUGAAUUCCUAGGAAAAGUUAAUAUACCAACGAGGUAUUGUAUUUUCUGUGUAGUUAAAGGGAGAUAGAAUCCAUCUGUAAACUCAUUACAGCAUUUGAGCCUGAGAAGUUUCUCCUUUCUUGGCUUAGAGGCAGAGCAGUAUUCCAGACUUCUACAUAUUGCCUCAGCAUUCUUUUCUGUUUUCGCAAAGAAAUCAAACUACUAUUCUGACCCUGUCCACAUAAUAUAGUAAUAGACAACAUUAGAGCCAGUGUAUGUGGAUUGAUACAGGUAAUCUCAUGAAAAUUAUAUAUAAUUCAUAUGAUAUAUGAAUUACUUCAUUCCAAUUGUUUCGAGAUAUAAAUAUCAAAGUUUCAUAAUUAUAUGAAUUAUAUGGAAACUUUUAAACAUGGAAGACUACUAUUUGCGUUCCUUUGAAUAGUUCCCUUGCAGAAGCACACAGGAGAACAUUAAUAAAUAUACUUAAAUGUUUAUG